GACGAACGCUGGCGGCGUGCUUAACACAUGCAAGUCGAACGAAGUGGCGAACGGGUGAGUAACGCGUAAUCAACCUGCCCUUCAGAGGGGGACAACAGUUGGAAACGACUGCUAAUACCGCAUACUGCAGGAGGGGAUUGCGUCUGAUUAGCUAGUGGGAGGGGUAACGCCCCACCAAGGCGAUGAUAAGUCGCCGGUUGGGUAGGAUGACCGGCAACAUUGGGACUAGGACAGGGCCCAGACUCCUAAGGGAGGCAGCAGUGGGGAAUCUUCCGCAAUGGACGAAAGUCUGACCGAGCAACGCCGCGUGAGGGAAGAAGGUUUUCGGAUCGUAAAACUCUGUUGUUAGAGAAGCGGUAUCUAACCAGAAAGCCACGGCUAACUACGUGCCAGCAGCCGCGGUAAUUC
rnacentral:rRNA from 1 species